CCACUUGCGUUUAGUCGCUUUACGCCUGCAUUCAAGUUCAUUUGUAUUUCUCUGCAGACUUUGGGAGGGUUCAGUAUCGGGGAGGAAUGGAUGGUGUAUUUUUUAUUGCCUAGGCCGUCCCAGUCCGCGUCGUAUGUUCGUUAUAUGUGGGGCAUUGACUGCAUAUUGUUUUGUAAACGAGGUACUGUGUAAUGGACAGUUCACACAGAAACAUUUGUUGAAAGAUGAAGCAGCCAACUGUUUUGAAUCUGACAGCAGCUGCAGCAAACCGGACCUGAACAGUUUCUCCAUGAUUCUCCAGGAUCAAUACUUACUGUUUAUUUGGAAGACAAACAGCAGUCUGAAACAGACACACCUGCCGAAGUGUCCUCCUCUGUGACUUCAGUCUCCAUGUUGGUCUCCUUGAUCCAGCCCCAUGUCUCAGCCCUGACCAAUGCUGUGCGCAUCAAGCAACUUUCUGAUGAUGGAGAUGAUGACAUCACCGAUGACUCGAAAAUCCAGCCGAAGUGCGAACACCAAGAAGAACUCAGUCCAGUGCCACCCCGGUCUAAAUCAGGAAGCACAGCUGAAGAUAGACCCACUGAUCCAAAUGGAAACACUGGCUACAAAAUAAUCACUUUAAAGUAGACAACAGAAAAUCAAAGAAAUAAGAAGAAGAAAUGUGAAGAAAUAAUAAGACUGAAUGAUGAACUUGAUGACAAACAGAAAAUCGAGUGUUUAACCCCUGAAAGCAUAAAAACCAUAAAUUAAUUUCUGUAGAAAGAGUACAGAAAAAUAUCAAAGUGCAUUUAACAGGUAAAAGCAAAAUAUAAAAAAGUGUGUAUGUGUGUUUAACUUAGUUUUGUACUAAAACGCCUCUGAACAAGUAAAUAAAGCUUGCAAAUGGAUAGAUUUAAAAUACUGUGUGUGGCUGGUUUUUGUCUGCUUCAGCACAACAGCGGCCUGUUUUUCUGUUCAAUAUAGGUCAUGGAAAUUCAGCUUUUUAGUCAGUGAAAGUCAGGGAAUUUGACAUUUGGCUUAGAGUGGGACCACCUUCUCUAAAUCAGGCAGCCCAGGCAAACACAGCCUGUCUGAGGAGGAGAGCAUGGAAAGAGCUGGUAUCUCUAUCAAGUAUGUUAAUAGUAAAUGUUAUUCAAGUUAAGUACUUUAUAAUUUGGUGUAAAAUAUCUUGCUCUAUGAAUUAAG